UAACACAAUCAUCGACGGCAUCUGCAAGAGAGGAAAUCCUUCUGUGGCUGUUAAGUUGUUCAAAAAUAUGGACAAUAAAGGUUGCAAGCCUGAUACUGUAACUUACAGCACACUUAUUGACUGUU
rnacentral:miRNA from 1 species